rnacentral:lncRNA from 1 species
UGCAAUUUUAGAAUAAGUGUUUCUGACUUCAUCUUUUAGAAAGCACCAAGUAAUCUGAUUUGUGAAUGUGCUCGAAGAGCCAAGAAAUCAACGUUCAACAACUCCCAGACUGCACUUCUGAGUCAGGGUAAGAACCAAGUCUCAAGGAGGGGACAUGACCAUCAAGAAUGCCGGCAGCAGAUGGUAAACCGGACGCACCUGUCUAUCUGGACUCCACCUCCCCUCUCUGAGUACUGCUGAUUUGUGUGAAGCCUGUGUUCCAAUGGUACCCAGCAUAGGAGCCACCCAGGUCACUGGCUUAGCUCUAGCCCACUAGCAAAGUCGGCUGGACUUGUUAACAGGGACCAGACUGUGCGGACCGGGUAGAGGCAGCAGUUCUGGGACUGGAACCCCCGUGGAGUCCUGCAGCUUCCAAAGGUAGAUUAUCUGGGCCCUUCUGAUCCCACCACCCAGGCUGGCCCAGUCUGUGCUGACAACACACACUGGUUUAGUCCCAUGUUGACUAGCUGGGGCUGGGAACUGCAGGGCCUGGCCAAGCCUUGGCCUGCACUGGUGAGGCCAUAUUCAUCUGCCAUCCCCAUCUGCCCAGGAGCAAUCCUUACUGUACCUACUGGAGGGCCCCCGGGGGCUGGGAGCUAUUUCAGCCGCUCCAGCCUCUCUAUAACUGCUAGGAUUCAAAGAGUAGAUUGUGCCAACGUCAACAGAAUGAGAAUGAGAACAAGACAGCCGCGUGGCUCUCUGUCAGGGAGAAUGCCCAAUUAGGAGGGUAGCUGUGGGGGCAGGGAAUGCUGGGUCUAUGACACAGGGAGUUCUUGGGUCUAGGAAGGUUCCACACAGCUUGGGUUUCACAGCACUGCACAGUGAUGACAGUGAGGAGUGACCCAGGAGGUCCACCUGCAGGCAUGCUGGACAUACACAGUGUGCCACCCAGCAACAUCCAAGCCACCAGAAGCAUGCACUGGAAGUCAGGCCUUACCUCGGGUUCUGAGAAGUACGUGUUUAGUGAGUGUAAGUGGAGAUCCACAAGCGCAGAUUCUGAAGGCUCUGCCACAGUCCAGGUAACCCUGAGUUCUAAGACACAAGGUCACCACAUAGAGAUUUGGGGUUGCGUGCUGCAUAUGAUGUGCUAGGUGAGGCCUGGGGACCCCAGUUAUAG